AGCGAACGCUGGCGGCGUGCCUAACACAUGCAAGUCGAACGUGAAAGGGAGCAAUCCCAAGUAAAGUGGCGUACGGGUGAGUAACACGUAGGUAGUCUACCCCAGAAUCUGGAAUAACCGGCCGAAAGGCUGGCUAAUACUGGAUAGAGCGACGGAAUCCGUAAUUGGGUUUUUCGGGAAAGGGAGCCUGUAAAAAGGCCUUCGUUCUGGGAUGAGCCUGCGUCCCAUCAGCUAGUUGGUGAGGUAAAAGCUUACCAAGGCAAUGACGGGUAGCUGGUCUGAGAGGACGAUCAGCCACACUGGAACUGAAACACGGUCCAGACUCCUACGGGAGGCAGCAGUGGGGAAUCUUGCGCAAUGGACGAAAGUCUGACGCAGCAACGCCGCGUGAGUGAAGAAGGCCUUCGGGUUGUAAAGCUCUGUCGAGUGGGACGAAAAUGCUUGGAGUUCACAGCUCCAGGAACUGACGGUACCACUAAAGGAAGCACCGGCUAACUCCGUG
rnacentral:rRNA from 1 species